rnacentral:lncRNA from 1 species
UUUCUUUUUCUUUUUUUUUUUAUUACAUUUGUAAUGCCCCAGUUGGACUGUUUUGCUGAUUCUCGAGAUGCAGCUGAGUGAUCUUCUUUUCUUGCUCAAGAAGUCGGGAAAUCUCGUCAGGAAUCCUUUCAACAUCAUCUUCCUCUGCUUCGAAUACAGGGAAUUCAAAAUUGGGAGAUGGCGUUGGAUCAUUAUGUUCAAUGGGUUUAAGAAUCAACCUGCAUAAUGAUUUUG